rnacentral:rRNA from 1 species
UACGUAGGGGGCAAGCGUUGUCCGGAAUCAUUGGGCGUAAAGAGCGUGUAGGCGGCCAGAUAAGUCCGCUGUGAAAACUCGAGGCUCAACUUCGAGCUGUCGGUGGAAACUAUUUGGCUAGAGUCCGGAAGAGGAGAGUGGAAUUCCUGGUGUAGCGGUGAAAUGCGCAGAUAUCAGGAGGAACACCGGUGGCGAAGGCGGCCCUCUGGACGGUGACUGACGCUGAGACGCGAAAGCGUGGGGAGCAAACAGG